GACGAACCGUGCGAACGUUAUUCGGAAUCACUGGGCUUAAAGGGCGCGUAGGCGGGCCGGAUAGUCAGGGGUGAAAGCCUCCAGCCCAACUGGAGAAGCGCCUUUGAUACUGUCGGCCUCGAGGGGUGCAGGGGCAUGCGGAACUCAGGGUGGAGCGGUGAAAUGCGUAGAUAUCCUGAGGAACACCGGUGGCGAAAGCGGCGUGCUGGACACCUUCUGACGCUGAGGCGCGAAAGCCAGGGGAGCGAACGGG
rnacentral:rRNA from 1 species